UGAUGAUGAUGGUGAUGAUGAUGAUGAUGAUGAUGAUGACGAUGACAAUGAUGAUGAUGACAAUGAUGAUGAUUCAUCGUCUUCUUCAUCUUCAUCAUCAUCAUCAUUUAAC
rnacentral:pre_miRNA from 1 species